CAUGUCUUGACUUGUACCAGCUUGUCAAAAGGGAGUUAAGGCUUGUGGUCAGCACCAGUAACUGUAUUUGCAAUUUCAUCCAAAUGACCGGCGAGAGACGACAGCAGCAUACCAUCCACUGUAGAAUAUAUGGAUACUAGGACAAACUGAACUGAAGGUCUCAGCGCUGGAUAUCCCUUCUCUGGAAGAUCCCUGACUUCACCACGGCUCAUUGGUCUACUGAUGACAUGACCCUGAGAAAAAAGAAACGUAUCCAGAUGUCCUGGAGAAGAUGAGAGACCCUGUGUCAGCAGUGAGGAGACCUCUCACCUACCCUCAUCUCUUGGAAAGCAAAAGCAGAACAAAGACUUUUUCUUUAAGGGGAAAUCUACCGCUGUCCCCGGCUGUCAUACAAGUACUGUGUGUGGACAUUCCAUGAGCAGAGUAUUAAAGUGUCCAGAGCUCACCCGGCCGCAGGAGACAGGAGAGUUAUACGAGGAGCCUUUACAGUCACCGACAGCUGAUAGUGAGAGAUACUGAAGUGAUGGAAGAAAAGAGAGCAAGUGAGGGAUGAGGGCCGCUGCUGUGAGUGGUUCUUUGGCAGUGUCUUAGCUGGUUGUUGUGUGGAGUGAGAACGAAGCAAUCAGCAAGUAUACUGCCGCAGAAACUCGUCACCUUGGGAGGCCCAUCCAAACGACCCCACUCACGCACUCAGCUGCCCACCCGCGCUCAGAGGCUGGUGAGAGAGACGACUAAAGAGAAUUAAUUUCUGAACUUCUCUUCCCAUUCAUUCUUCUUUUAAUUGUGAGUGUCAGCUUUUGUUUAUUGGCAACGCUGCUUGAACACUCACAGCGACUUGAGAAUUUCACGUGAAAGACUGAUUCAUGCUUACGGUAUGUUGGAUCUUAUUUUCCGUGACAUUGUAGUCAUAGUUUAGAUCAGUCCAUUUGUUUUCUUUCUUUCAUUUCCAUGAGAUCUGGAGUGAUUCAGUCAAGUGUUAUUGUGAAAAUCAGCUGACUAGAUUUCGCAGUUUCAGUAUUGCCAUGACAUGGUGUGGCCUGUUUAUAUUUGGCCUACGUAGCUUGCAGUCCUGUGACAUAUUCAUAUUGUGUUAUGGUGUGUUUAUUUUGAAAUUUGCUAAUGGACCAAAACACUAAUCCUAAUUAUUAACCAAAAAUACUUUUCAUUCUGGUUUGGAAAAAAAAUGUAGAAAAAAGUAUUGGGAAAUGGAAUAUAUAAAUAUAUGUGCGUGUGUGUGUGUGUGUGUGUGUUUAAUAACAAUAUAAAAUGUUUUGUUAUAUUUGUAUAAAUUAAUGU